UACGAAGGUGGCAAGCGUUGUUCGGAUUUACUGGGCGUACAGGGAGCGUAGGCGGUUGGCUAAGCCCUCCGUGAAAUCUCCAGGCUUAACCUGGAAAGUGCAGAGGGGACUGUUCAGCUAGAGGAUGGGAGAGGAGCGCGGAAUUCCCGGUGUAGCGGUGAAAUGCGUAGAGAUCGGGAGGAAGGCCGGUGGCGAAGGCGGCGCUCUGGACCUGUACUGACGCUCAUGCACGAAAGCGUGGGGAGCAAACAGG
rnacentral:rRNA from 1 species